CUCACCUGUCCAUAGUCACGUGAUCUGACUGACAAUUAUAAUUAGGAUACUUAAUUAUGUGGGUUUUUUUCCCAUCCAUUCCAAUGGAUGAAUAACGUAGUGUGGUCGUUAGUACUCUCGCCUCACAGCAAGAGGGUUGCCGGUUCGAUCCCGGGCGUGGGAGCCCUUCUGUGUGGAGUUUGCAUGUUGUCCCCGUGUCAGCGUGGGUUCUCUCUCCGGGUACUCCGGCUUCCUCCCAUAGUCCAAAGACAUGCAGACUGGGGACUAGGUUAAUUGAUAACUCUAAAUUGUCCGUAGAUGUGAAUGUGAGCGUGAAUGGUUGUCUGUCUCUAUGUGUCAGCCCUGCGAUAGUCUGGCGACCUGUCUAGGGUGUACCCUGCCUCUCGCCCGAUGUCAGCUGGGAUAGGCUCCAGCCCCCCCGCGACCCCCAAGAGGAUGAAGCGGUUAGAAGAUGAAUGAAUGAAUCAAUGUGCCAAUGUGCUGCUUCAUGAUCAGCCACGCUUGUUAAAAAAGGGGGUGUGGCUCUACUGCAGUCCACUUUAGAUGAUGUGGAGCACUGAUCGGUUUAUAGACAUUCCAUAAAAUAAGUCUGUGCAUUCUCGGUGCAUCUCCAUGAUUAAUAUCUCCUCGUCCAUGGUGUCAACGGGGUGAAAUGAUAUCUGAAAACCUCUGACCUGUUGACUUCAGGCCUGCCGCUGCCCAUUAUGCAUUUUUCAAGGUGUAGUGCAGGGAAAUAUGAUCCGCCGUGAACACUGUGUAUUUUAUUCUUAAAACUGACCGGAUGUUUUAUUUUGUUUCUGUGCACGACUUCCUGCCCCGCACGAAGUGCUGAAUUGUUGCGUUGUGCUCUGUCGUCCGGCAAAAAUAGAAGUCCUGCGUAUCUGUGCAGAGGGCUCCGGAGUGCCGGAGCUGAGACGGAGCCGGUGUGACAGAUUAACUGGUGUUGAAUCAACUGGUGAGACAGAUGUGUUGUGGGCGUGGCCUUUGAGAAACCCACAGUGGAAAAACGAGGAAAAAAACAUUGAACUCCUAACCAAACACCACGAUAGAAGUGGUUUGCUGGACAUCCACAGAGAAUUCGAAGCCAAGCGAACACGAUCCGCAGUUGUCCUGUGGCACACACGUCUAUGAACGCUUCAAAAUAAGAAAAUCUAAAUGCAUCCAAAAUACCAACAAAGUGGGGCAUCACAUAUCGUAGCUACAUGAUAUACUGCCAGCAAUACCAACGUUAUGUCAUGUCCCUAAUCAUGUCUGUCCAGCUACAUGUGUGUAUCACAAGUUAAUCUGAGCGCGUCACACAUUACCACUCUGUUUGUGCGAACACUCCAGUAUGGCAUUUAACACCCCAGACUCUGUGUGUGUAUCACUCACAGGCUGUAUGAAAGCAUCAUCAGUCCUCAGAAACACUUGACAUCAUAUAAAUAAUGAUAUGGCGCACACGUAGUUCCAUCAACAGGAAAACUCUGCAAACACCGUUUGCAGUAUUGUGAACAGCAGGCAUUAACACAGUCACUGACGUUGUCAGUCCCAAUUCAUGAACACCGCAAUGCUAGAUACAGAUCAGUGCAAAUGUCAAUGAAUCCUGUAGAAAAUGCUCAGUUGUCAGUCCUGUAGUUUGUAUCAUCUGAUGUCAAGUCGAUGUGCAGUCUGGAAAUGAAAGUCUGAGAUAUUCACAUCCAACUCGAGCGCAGCGCGGCGAUUGCCAUGAGCUGUGGCAAAUUGUGAUCCACUCAGAUUAACUGGUGAUACAACAUGUGUAGGCUACAUUCCAACAAUCAUGCUGCAUAAUGACGGCCACUGACAAUUCACUCAGUCAUCACAACGAUAGUCUGCACCAUUCAGUGCAGACAUGAUAACUCAAUAUACAACAAGAAUGAAAUAAAUAAAUAAAUAAAUAAAUAAAUAACAAAAGUCAAUGGGAUAAUCACACACAGGUGUAGGUGAUUAUACUCAGGUGUAGAUAACUCCAAUCAUCAGGGGGUAGUCUUUAUAAGGAUGGUUAACAGCUCACAACUUUGUGGGUUUGUUUGUGACGAGUUUGAGCAGUGAGCAGAAAGAGAGAAAAAGACGGUGUGCAAGAAAGAGUAAGUGGUGAUUGUAAGUGGUGACUGUGAGUGGUGACUGUGAGUGAGGCUUGUGAGUGGUGAUUGUGAGUGGUGAGUGUGACAGUGAAGUGUGCUUUGUGUUGUAAAGAGAGUGGGAUUGUAGGUUUGUGUGUGUUGUGUGCUAGUGUGUUGUGUCAGUGAGGGUAGGAGUAGUGAGGGUAGGAGUAGCCAAGGUAGGAGUAGCGAGGGUAGGAGUAGGUAGGGAGGAGUAGGAAAGGUAGGGACAUAAUGGUGAAGUUGAAACUCCAUUAUCGGUAUCCUGAGGGGUCAACCAGCCGAGACAGAUUUGUCAUCAGGAGGAGAGCUGACACCUUCAGGAUAAAGGGUAAGGAUGCAUGUCACAUGGACUUAAGAACACAAUGAUUAUCUGCUAUGACGAAACUCCAAGUAAUCUAAUAUGAUGACAUUUAAACACCAGAUGGAGACCUCUACUACAUCUGUCGGCGAAAGCAGAACAAGGCCGGGCACCUCGCCAAAGUGGUCUCCACUGCUGAGGAAGCAAGCAACCUCUUCGUGGAGUUUCAUGCCAGCGAUAUGGGUGGGCACUGUGGGGUGGAAAAAACCGACAGUGCCAUCAUUGCCCGCUAUUAUUGGCCUGGCAUGGAGGAUGACAUUCGCAAGUGGAUUGCUCAGUGUCCCCAGUGCCAGGCCAGGAGGGCUACCAUCAAGGAAAAGCAGGAGUACAAUCCAAUAGAGGUAACCGAGCCUCUCGAGCUGGUUGGAAUGGACUUGGUGGGUAAGCUCAAUGAACAGAUGGUGGCAACCAGUACAUAUGUGUCAUGGUUGAUUAUUUCACCAAAUGGGCAGAGGCAUACCCACUAAAAAGCAAAACAGCAGACGAGGUGACAAAUUGUAUUCUUGAUUUCUUUUACAAAUUUGGUGCACCCAAAAGGCUGCUAACAGACCAAGGCUCAGAAUUUCGCAACAAGGUAUAGUGAUUAUGCAAUAUGGAUCACCAACAUGUAACUUUUGCUGUGCUGGCUCAGCUCAUGUUCAUUUGAAUGUCAUUUCAAGGUCAACUAUGGUCUGUGUGAGAGACUGGGCAUCAAGAGGAGCCUAUGCUCCCCUUUUCAUCCACAGACCAAUGGCCUUGUGGAAAAGCUGAAUGGCACGAUACAGAGGUAUAGUUUUGUUGUCAGAACUUGAACUUGAGCCCUUAAUAGCCUAGCACUUAUAUCCUGUUCCAGUCUGAACAGGUAAUCAUCAAUGGAUUGCUGUAUCAUACACGACAACCCAAAGUAUCUUCUGCCUCCUCAUGCAUGUACCUGAAUUCUGCAUUUUAAGGUCCCUGAACAAACUGGUGGCUGAGCACCCCAACCAUUGGGACCAGUAUCUCCAGCCAACAAUGUUUGCCCUGAGGACCAAAAAGCAGCUGACUACUCAAUACAGCUACCUGAUGUUUGGGAGGGAGGCCAGGUAUCCCUCAGAGGUCCCAGAUGAGUAUGACGUGACCGAAGAGAAGGUCUGCAGCCUCAUUAAGACAGAGGAGAUCUGCCAGGGACUCAGAGAUCAGGUCCCAGUCUGCAAUGAGGUAAAGGCCAAUAUCGAGGCCAAACAGCAAAAGGUCCGCAAGAGGAAGGAGGACAGAGGUCAGGCAGACCAUUUUAAAGUGGGGGACCUUGUUCUAAAGAAAUGCAUGGCAGGCCAUGAGGAAAGGGGACAAACUGGAGGCCAGCUUGGUGGGACCUUACAAAAUAUUAAAGCUGGAGGAGAAGACCGCUCACCUGGUGUCAGAGGGGGACACAGUCAAAAGUCAACACUCUCUGUUUGCCCUGCCACACUGCGGUCAUUGCAUAGCUGUCUAUAAUGACCGCACCACUCUUCCUCCCAACCAUUGUGAGAUAUGCAUUAAUGAUCUUUGAAAACAAUUAUGUGAUUAAUCUGUAAAGACGCACAUCAGUCAAAUAAUUGUUCUUUGAGGUAGGCUACCUGACUCUCCAAUUCCUUUCCUGGGGCCAGGUACAGGAGGUCUUCCAUAUAUAAUUUAUAUGGCCCCAGCCUUGACCAGAGUGUGGUUCGGCGCCUUCCUGCCCAUACGUCUCUGAUUACUGUAACACAAAAGAAUAAAACAUUGUUAUGGCAGUUAUUCAUGACUUGCAUAAUUUGGGGUGUACUCUACCAGUGUACUUACAAAUAUCUGCACUGAGUGGAGGUCCUUGGGCUUCACAGCUUGUGGGUUGCCUUGCUGGGGGUGUGACUGAUGUGACUUGACUCAUUACUUCCAGCCAGAGGAGUAGGAUCAAUCAAUUUCCUGAUUUUGGCAGGGAUCCUCUCCUCUGGCUGGAAGUAAUGAGUCAAGUGGUCAGGCUUGAAAGGGGUGAGUAGGAUUAAUUUCUUAUGCCUUUGCAAUCCAGUGAGUUUUUCUCAGUUGGAUAUGUAUGGUAUAUUUGAUUUCUGUUGUAGCUGGCCCUUGAUUGUGAUGUGGCUGCAGGAGCAGUCUGUCAUGAAGGACACUGGACACUCAUUGUGAGUAUUCCUAAAUGUUAACAGAUGUGGACACAAUAAUGACACUUAUGUUUGAGGGGUUGCUAAUAUUUGUUUUGCAUUUCCAUAGAUCAUGUACCUGAAGGAGAUGAGGUCCUUAUACCUUGAUCCGUUCGGUGCCACUCAGUAACAGAUUGAGAGGUGUAAACAUGUAACAAGGGCACUGGUUCGCCAGAAGUGUCCUGCUAUCGGGAGGUGGACAUGUGCUACAUUGGCCCAUCCUAGACAGCAGGACACAACAUCAUGUGGGGUGUUUGUGUGCAAGGUAAUGACUCAGUGAUCUCUGUGCCUGUCAUUAAAGUGUCAUUCAAAUUGUACUCAUGAGACUUUUAGCUUGCAGAGCAGAUUUUGCUGGCCCAGCAGAUUGACUAUGCAGUAGACCAGGAGGGUGUGGCCAUGCUAAGGAUGGACAUGGCUAAAGCUCUGCUGGCAAAUACAGAUGACCUAUCCCAGCUGUGUCGGGCUUGUGGGGAGGAAAGCUCCGGGGCUGAGAUGGACGAGUGGGUAAGGAGAUCAAUUCUUGUCCCGGCCAACGUUGGUUGGAUGCCUUGGAUGCACCUUGGACGGGUUACCUCAUGGUCACUGGGUGAAUACUCAGUCACACACAGCUAUUGUUAAUGUGUAGUUUACUUUACUUAACCUGCAUGUCUUGCACUUCAGCGGUCACUGGAGCAGCUGAGGGAACAUGGGAACACAGACAACCACAGCUAAGAUUUAAAUCUAGUAUCUGACAGACAUUGCCAUACAAUUCUGAGCAUUAUCAUGAUUUCUCAUUAACUGUUAAAUUGUACAACCUCCUGGGAUGAAUGAUUACCUGACACACUGCUUGGAUGGUUUCUGAGGUCUCUUUUCUCUUUUUUUUUAGAUUGAAUGCACCACCUGCUAUCUGUGGUACCAUUCACAGUGAGUUGGACAGCCCUCACCAGAGCAGGACUGGCUUUGCACUGAGUGCGCCACAUGAAUCGGCACUGCGGUUUCUAUUCUUUUACCUGUAUCUUUACCUGUAUGUAUCUAUCUUUCUAUAUCUAUACGGCCUAUAUAUACUGGCUGGUGACCAUGCUCUCAAUGUGACUGUAGAUGGCAUCAGUGGGAAGGAUGGCAGGGACAUGACUUUCAGCAGUUCCACUCGGGCAUUAGUUUCAUUUAGUAAUGUAAUGGCGAUGGUUUGUUUCCACAUGGUUUUGUCGGGAACAUGACUGAUGUCCAGCGAACAGUUCCCAUCGUCAUGAUUCAGAUGGAACCGGCAAACGUGUGCGUUAGGAAGGCAAAGUGAUCAUGACAUGUAUUUCCUGGUUGUUUACACGGGACAUACACAACGGGUCCACACAGGCCACGCCCACACCACAUCUGUCUCUCUCACCAGUUGAUUCAACACCAGUUAAUCCUUCACACCGGAACGCAACACAGCUGCAGCCGGUGGAAACACACACACUGACUAGUAUUGAAUCCUAUCGCCUCCGCUGCCGUGCCGGAGCGCAGACGCAACCGAGAGCAGCCUCUCUUGGGCAGGCCCUGAACUCGUCACUGAUAUCUCUGUAGUGGUUAAAUAUGAAAUGUAAUUCCUUUGGGCUAUGUCUAAUGGGCAAUAUUCACUCUCAGUAUAUAAGAUAUAUUAUUAUAUUAUUAAAUGUUGUAACAUUGUUGAUGUAAUUGUUGUUCUUUGUAUGUAUUCUUUUGCUUAUUUAUGUGUUUUUACCAUUCAAUAAUGAUUUUAAGAAUUUAUUGUAAUUUAUUUAUUGUAGGCCUAUUUAAUGAUUAACUGUAUUUAUUGUAGUUUUUAUUCAACAGCAUUUUAAAUAUUGAUUAUCUGAUAUGAAUUGUAUACCUGAUGUCUGAAGUGUGGCUGAAUAAAAUUUUCCUCUUAACAUCUGACCUGUUUGAUCCCAUUUAUAUUGGUGAGGACAGACUAAAUGAGAAACUGCUGUCAGUAUAAUCCAGUACAGUUCAA